AUCUCACCCUUGCAGCUGUGAAGCCUCUGGGAAGCUUUAACAUUGACACCAGCCGGAGGUGGGUCUCGCACCCCACGACCCCUCACUUUGGACAUCGGGUUCUUCAGCAUUCUGAUGGGCAACAGAGUUGGAUUCUGGCUACAUCCUUGGGACCAGGUGAUUCUGGCAGGCUGUAUAAAUGCAAUUUGCAGAAUGAGAUCCACUGCGAGGAGGCCAGUUUAGGAGAAAACAUUCAGAAGCUGAAAAAGAUCCAGCCCGGUAUUGCUUUAGCCCAAAGCCCGGAACAGAUUUUGG